GUCUAGGGCCAUACCACCCUGAACGCGCCUGAUCUCGGAAGCUAAGCAGGGUCAGGCCUGGUUAGUACUUGGCUGGGAAAAUUCUUGUUCUGUGAUGAAAAACAACAAACCUGCAACC
ensembl:rRNA 5S_rRNA 5S ribosomal RNA